CACGUAGUUAGCCGGGGCUUUCUGGCGAAGUACCGUCAAUUUACCAUCAUUACCUAUGGUAAGGUUUCUUCCUUCGCAACAGGGUUUUACAAUCAUUAUGACUGUCAUCACUCACGCGGCAUUGCUCGUUCAGGGUUUCCCCCAUUGACGAAUAUUCCUAACUGCUGUCUCCCGUAGGAGUCUGGGCCGUGUCUCAGUCCCAGUGUGUCCGAUCAGCCUCUCAGCUCGGAUAUGCAUCGUUGUCUUGGUAGGCCUUUACCCCACCAACUAACUAAUACACCGCAAGCCCAUCUCAAAGUGAAGCCAAAGCUCCUUUUAGCACAGUUACUUUGUAUCUGUGAAUCAUCUGGUAUUAGCUAUCGUUCCAAUAGUUAUCCCAGUCUCUGAGGUAGGUUACCCACGUGUUACUCACCCGUCUGCCACUAAGUGGAUAUCAUUUCCAACUUUGUGCAAGCACUCCAUCUUCUAUGGGCCUACGUUCCGUUCGACUUUGCUA
rnacentral:rRNA from 1 species